rnacentral:rRNA from 1 species
UACGGGGGGGGCAAGCGUUGUUCGGAAUUACUGGGCGUAAAGGGUUUGUAGGUGGCUUGCUAAGUCAGACGUGAAAUCCCUCAGCUUAACUGGGGAACUGCGUCUGAGACUGGCAGGCUUGAGUGCAGGAGAGGAACGCGGAAUUCCAGGUGUAGCGGUGAAAUGCGUAGAUAUCUGGAGGAACACCGGUGGCGAAGGCGGCGUUCUGGACUGUAACUGACACUGAGGAACGAAAGCCAGGGGAGCAAACGGG